UACGGAGGGGGCUAGCGUUGUUCGGAAUUACUGGGCGUAAAGCGCACGUAGGCGGCUUUGCAAGUUAGAGGUGAAAGCCCGGGGCUCAACUCCGGAAUUGCCUUUAAAACUGCAUCGCUAGAAUUGUGGAGAGGUAAGUGGAAUUCCGAGUGUAGAGGUGAAAUUCGUAGAUAUUCGGAAGAACACCAGUGGCGAAGGCGGCCCGCUGGGCAGUGGCUGACGCUGAAGCGCGACAGCGUGGGGAGCAAACAGG
rnacentral:rRNA from 1 species